rnacentral:lncRNA from 10 species
UGCCUAUCUUCUACCUGACAGCCAAAGUCAUAGAAAGAGGAAAAAUACAGAGUAGGUUCUACCUAAAGUCUGCCCUGCGGCUAUUUAAACAGAUACAGAAUGACCAAAUCUGGAGACACGUAUUUAAAAUAUUCCUUCUAUCUCCCCCUCCUUCUGUGAAAGAUAUCUGAAUGCAUUCGGCCCACAGCCUGUUAAAGUUUUUUUUUUUUUUUUUGAGGCGGCCAGACUUGGAACACUCAGGAAUACAGACAGACGUAGGAAUUGCUUAAAAACAAGAAGUUCUCCCACCCUUGUUGGAGCGAAUGCGCGAGUCUGACAGUGAACCUUUUGGGAAAGAGCCAGCAUUGUAACCGUGCUCGGUGACUUCUCUGGCUUUAUAGGGAACAGAUGUGAGGAUAGCAAGGGGCGCACACGUGAAAUGCCUGGCAGGUACCCCUUUGUGGCUCUACUUACUUCUUGCCAUUCCUCUGCCCUCCAAGUGUAGAGGGGACACCGUGGGCCUUGGCAGUCGCGUUCCGACUCCGGUCUGGUGUAUGGGUUGCACUCGGUCUCUCUGGCUAUUUUGUGUGUUCCGAUCUGACAGCCCACAUGCCUCUGCUGUACGCCUCGGCCACAGGACACAGAGCACUAAGAAGACAGAGAACAUUCACAGUCUGGUGAGACAAGUUUGAGAUCUCAUAUUUUCAGCUCAUCCUUGAAAACCUUUCUUCGAUUUGACUGACCUUGAUGGCUCCCUGGAAUCUCACCUACAUUUUAUGGGAAAUUCAACUCUCCAGAGAGAAGAGCUUUCAGAUAGCUGCGGGACUUGCAACUGUGACUUUCAGCUUUCGCUUUUGAAUGAGGCUCCAAAUGUCUCAAUGGUGGCACUAUUUCCAGAUUUGGGGUAAGCCAAUUCUUUGUUGUUGGGGUUGUGCUGUGCAUUGUAGACUAUUAAGCAGCAUUCCUGGCCUCUACCCACUAGAUGCCCAUAGCACCUGCAUCCCCAUUGUAACAACCAAAACUGUCUCCAGACAUUGCCAAAUGUCCACCGCAGGCUAAAAUCACCUCCCAAUUGAGAACUAUUGAAUUAUACUAAGGUUCUCAGAAAGUCCUUCAGCAAGUUCUCAAAACUGAAUUGAUUCAAAUUGACUUGGUGAG